rnacentral:rRNA from 1 species
UACGUAGGGGGCAAGCGUUGUCCGGAAUUAUUGGGCGUAAAGAGCGCGUAGGCGGUCCGAUAAGUCGGCUGUGAAAGUCAAGGGCUCAACCCUUGAAAGCCGGCCGAUACUGUCGGACUAGAGUCCGGAAGAGGCGAGUGGAAUUCCCGGUGUAGCGGUGAAAUGCGCAGAUAUCGGGAGGAACACCAAUGGCGAAGGCAGCUCGCUGGGACGGUACUGACGCUAAGGCGCGAAAGCGUGGGGAGCGAACAGG